ensembl:snRNA U6 U6 spliceosomal RNA
GUGCUCACUUUGGCAGCACAAAUACUAAAAUUGGAACAAUACAGAGAAGAUCAGCAUGGCCCUUGCGCAAGAUGACAUGCAAAUUCGUGAAGCAUCCCAUGUUUUU